GAAGUUUCGGUAGUAGUGUUUUUUAGUUUUAUUGGGUGAAAUUGCUAGUGUCACACACAACCUUUCCUCUUUGCCUGGGUUAUGACCACCUAAGCAAGGUUUGCGUGUGAGUCGUUUCUUUACUUAUUCAGUGAAACGGGAACGAAAUGGUAUUUUGGGGGUGAAGCACAUGCUGGCAUAUGUGGCCUAACUCUGCGUAUGUCGUUGUCAUGGUCAUUUCAGGUGAAUCGUGGUGCAGACUAAGGUGUUUGAGUCUUGAAGUGAUGCGCGACCCGUUCUGAAGACCAUGUCAGGCGGGGAGAUCGACUGGGGCAGCACAUCUGUCAAAUGGUAGCGCAGGUGUCGUAUGGUGAUCUCAGUCAGGACAGAAACCUGGCGUAGAGUAAAAGGGCAAAAAGCUUACUUGAUUUUGAUUUCCAGUACGAAUACAGACCGUGCAAGCCGUGAAGGCCUAUCGAUCCUUUUGAUUAUUAUUUUCAGAGUUUGAAGUAAGAGGUGUCAGGAGAGUUACCACAGGUAUAACUGGCUUGUGGCGGCCAAGCGUUCAUAGUGACGUCGCUUUUUGAUCCCUCGAUGUCAGCUCUUCCUAUCAUUGUGAAGCGGAAUUCACCAAGCAUUGGAUUGCUCACCCCCUAAUAGAGGGGGGGGGGCGCCAGCU
rnacentral:ncRNA from 1 species